GGGCCGGUGGCGGAAUGGCAGACGCAGGGGACUUAAAAUCCCCUUCCUGUAAGGGAGUGUGGGUUCGAAUCCCACCCGGCCUA
rnacentral:tRNA from 1 species